AGUCACUGACAUUAGAUACCCCCGUAGUCCAGGGUGUAAACGCUGCAGACUUGGUGUUGGAAGUCCUUUGGGGGCAUUCAGUGCCGGAGAGAAGUUGUUAAGUCUGCUACUUGGGAGUACGUCCGCAAGGAUGAAACUUAAAGGAAUUGGCGGGGGAGCACCGCAACGGGAGGAGCGUGCGGUUUAAUUGGAUUCAACACCGUAAAACUCACCAGGGAAGACUGUUACAUGAAAGCCGAGAUGAAGACUCUGCUAGAUUUUCAG
rnacentral:rRNA from 1 species